rnacentral:lncRNA from 1 species
GCUUACUGUUCGGUUCGGCCCUCUUCCCUCUUCACCUUCAUCAGCCUUGUGCUACUUGCCGUUGGUUUCCAUUCGAUGGGAGUGUUUCAGAGAUCUGGCAGACCCCUACUCUCAUCCCUCUCUUGGCGAUACUUCACGCCAGAGGUGCCAUGCUUAACUGUGGGGUCUGCCCUCUCCUUUCCAUCGUCAUAGUAAGAGGAAACUGCUCUUUGCCGUUUUUACAAAGAUUUGCAGAAGAUUGAAAAGAUGAUUCAUGUGGUCUUCACGUUAAGGCAUAACAGGUGGUCUCUCUCUUUGUUGGAGGUUCUUCCGUUUGUUUGGACUUCAUCCGGCAAUUUGUUACUUGCUGUUGAUAGUGUUUUGGGAGCGCCGGCAGAAUCAACUCUUCAUCCUCUCGUGGUGAUACUUCACGUUGGAGGUAAGCUUAUUUUCCGUUUCUGCCUGCUCCUUUUUCGCCUUCAUCCGGCUGUUAUCUUUGCCGUUAUUUUCCUUUCGUUGGAAGUACAUCAGAGUUCAGGCAGUCCCCCAUUCUCAUCCCUCUCGUGCUGAAACUUCAUGGCCGGAGGUGCCAUGCUUAGCUCUCGGGGCUGCUCUCUCCAUCCUUCAUUUGUUAGAGUAUACUGCUCUUUGCCGACAUUAUUAGAUUUGCAGAAGAUUGAAAUUAAGGAAGGUUUCAUGUGGUUUUCACGUAAAGGCAUAACAGGUGAUCUCUCUCUUUGAUGGAGGUUCUUCCGUUUUUUGGUUUUCUUCCGGCGAUUAGUUCUUGCUGAGAUAAUGUUUUGGGAGCGCCGGCAGACCCCCUAUCCUUCAUCCUCUUGAAGUGUAACGUCACGACUGAGGUAUGCUUAUUUCUUCGGUUCUGCAUGCUCCCUUUUCGCCUUCAUCCGGCUGUUCUCUUUUCGCCGUUGGUUUCCUUUCGUGGUAGUACGUCAGAGUUCAGGCAGGGCCUGUCUCCAUCCAUCGAACUGUUUGAGGAAAACUGCUCUUUGCCGAAAAUCUUAAGAAUUAGCAGAAGAUUGAUGUAUGGAAAGGAUUCAUGUGUUCUUCAUGUUCAAGGCAGAAUAAAUGUUCUCUCUUAUCGAUGAUGGUUCUUCCGCCAGAUUGGGUUUCUCACAUGCGGUGCCAUGCAUUGCCUUUGGGUCUACCCAUCCACUCAUCGUUAUUGUAAGAGAUAAUCUGUUCUUUACCGUAUCACACGAAUUUGCAGAAGAUGAAAGUUGAAGAAUCUUUUCUCCGACAGUUCACCCGUAAAUUCAGGUUGAUACUCCUUGAAAAUGUCACAAUUUCACCGGAGGAGUCUUGCUCUACAUAUGAGUCUUGCCGGCCUUCUUUCCGACGUCUUCUCCCUCCGUUGCCAUGUUUAUCUUUCGGGUCGGCGUUCUUGUUCAUCGUGUUUGCAUGAGAAAAUUUAAAAUUUUCUUUCAAACGGCAACCGACAAGGCACUCAAUGCUGUGUGUUGGAAAUUCAAAAGUUAAUUCAAUACCUUGGUAAGCCAAAAAGUGGGCGGCGGUAUAAAGGCAACAGACAAGGAAUCUAUGUCUUGAUUAUGCCUUGGUUAACCGAGCAAGUGGGGGGCAGCAUCAUUGCCUUGAAGAACCAAAUAUGGGCGGCUGCAACAAUCAAGUAAUUCAAUGCUUUUUCUCGAAAAACACUUUAGUGGGAGACAGCAAUUAUGAAAUUCAAAGCUUUGUCUUGGUAGUAAUUGAGCUGCGAUCCAGUGCAUUGCGGUGCAAUUACCCCGACAGUUUACCCUUCAUCAAGCUCAUCGUGCACGCGCUUCAUCGUCUGGCCUCCUGGCCUAUUCCUUUACAGCACAAGUGGGACUAGUUUUUGGAUUAAGAUACUAUGUUGUACCUUGUAACGGCACCAUCCAAAUGCAAAGGAUGUGCCAAGUUUGUACUCUUGCUAUCCUUUUGGAUUAGCAUUUAUCUUGCGUUCCCUUUUCUAAAUUCUUGUAAAUAUGUUUGUUUGCUUGUACUAUUUAUGGCACCGCCCAAAUGCAAAGGGUGUGCCAAGUUUGUACUUUUGCUUUCUUAGGAAUAGCAUCUCCCGUUUCAGUCCCUUGCUCUCACUUGAGACUUGGUGACUCGUACUCCCUUGGGUAUACCCAAGUUUUGUUGUAACACCUUUUCAUUAUUUAUAUAUUCCAGAAAAU